rnacentral:rRNA from 1 species
ACCUGCGGAGGGAUCAUUACCGAGUUUACAACUCCCAAACCCCUGUGAACAUACCAAUUGUUGCCUCGGCGGAUCAGCCCGCUCCCGGUAAAACGGGACGGCCCGCCAGAGGACCCCUAAACUCUGUUUCUAUAUGUAACUUCUGAGUAAAACCAUAAAUAAAUCAAAACUUUCAACAACGGAUCUCUUGGUUCUGGCAUCGAUGAAGAACGCAGCAAAAUGCGAUAAGUAAUGUGAAUUGCAGAAUUCAGUGAAUCAUCGAAUCUUUGAACGCACAUUGCGCCCGCCAGUAUUCUGGCGGGCAUGCCUGUUCGAGCGUCAUUUCAACCCUCAAGCCCCCGGGUUUGGUGUUGGGGAUCGGCGAGCCCUUGCGGCAAGCCGGCCCCGAAAUCUAGUGGCGGUCUCGCUGCAGCUUCCAUUGCGUAGUAGUAAAACCCUCGCAACUGGUACGCGGCGCGGCCAAGCCGUUAAACCCCCAACUUCUGAAUGGUGACCUCGGAUCAGGUAGGAAUACCCGCUGAACUUAAGCAUAUCAAUAGCCGGAGGAAA